UGCGAACUCCUACGGGAGGCAGCAGUAGGGAAUCUUCCACAAUGGACGAAAGUCUGAUGGAGCAACGCCGCGUGAGUGAAGAAGGGUUUCGGCUCGUAAAGCUCUGUUGGUAGUGAAGAAAGAUAGAGGUAGUAACUGGCCUUUAUUUGACGGUAAUUACUUAGAAAGACACGGCUAACUACGUGCCAGCAGCCGCGGUAAUACGUAGGUGGCAAGCGUUGUCCGGAUUUAUUGGGCGUAAAGCGAGUGCAGGCGGUUCAAUAAGUCUGAUGUGAAAGCCUUCGGCUCAACCGGAGAAUUGCAUCAGAAACUGUUGAACUUGAGUGCAGAAGAGGAGAGUGGAACUCCAUGUGUAGCGGUGGAAUGCGUAGAGAUAUGGAAGAACACCAGUGGCGAAGGCGGCUCUCUGGUCUGCAACUGACGCUGAGGCUCGAAAGCAUGGGUAGCGAACAGGAUUAGAAACCCUUGUAGUCCAGAUG
rnacentral:rRNA from 1 species